AGCGACACUAUGUGUUGUUGGGUAGGGGAGCGUUCUGUAAGCCUGCGAAGGUGUGCUGUGAGGCAUGCUGGAGGUAUCAGAAGUGCGAAUGCUGACAUAAGUAACGAUAAAGCGGGUGAAAAGCCCGCUCGCCGGAAGACCAAGGGUUCCUGUCCAACGUUAAUCGGGGCAGGGUGAGUCGACCCCUAAGGCGAGGCCGAAAGGCGUAGUCGAUGGGAAACAGGUUAAUAUUCCUGUACUUGGUGUUACUGCGAAGGGGGGACGGAGAAGGCUAUGUUAGCCGGGCGACGGUUGUCCCGGUUUAAGCAUGUAGGCUGGUUAUCCAGGCAAAUCCGGAUAAUCAAGGCUGAGGUGUGAUGACGAGGCACUACGGUGCUGAAGUAACAAAUGCCCUGCUUCCAGGAAAAGCCUCUAAGC
rnacentral:rRNA from 1 species